AUGAAAAGCUCUUUCAAAGCAUUUGGUCAGAGUAACCCUUAUGGUCAGAGUGAAGGAGACUUUGCUGACACAGAGUGAGUAACUGAGAAUUUGCGUCAAAGUGGGAAUCCAGGACAGAAAGGGACAGAAGUGCGAGAGAGCGAGAGAAAAAGAGAUGAAUGGGGGAGGAAAUGCAUUCCGGAUCAAGAGACCUCCCUGUGCUGAAACCACUGGCAUGAUGACAUCAUGAAUACAGGAUAACUCCAAUCAAUGUCUGUUGCAUCUGAAGAGUGUGUGGACUCCCUUACUAGUCGUCAAUGCAUGGUAGGACUCUAGGAAGCACAGAGCAUCAGAGGGACCCCGGUGCGCAUACCCAUUGAUCCUUGAAGGCAAUGAAACAGAGGACUAUGAAUGCUGAGUGAGAAGAUUGAAGGCCGAGAUCAAAAGAUUUUUGGAUACUAAAGAGUAUGGGGAUCACGCAGAAAGCUGCAAUUGGGGUGGAAUAUCAACCCUAACUGAGUGGAAUGGUGAAACAGGCUUGAGCAGCUGAAUGGUCCACUCCUGCUUCUGAUGGCCUCUGAAGAGAUUGUUCACUCAGUCCUGGCGAACAUGACAAUGUUAAACAUCUAUUUGUCAGUCAAAAUUGCAAUUUUUUUCUUAUAAAGACUUAAAAAGA